UACGAAGGGUGCAAACGUUGCUCGGAAUUAUUGGGCGUAAAGCGCGCGUAGGCGGCUUGGCAAGUCGGAUGUGAAAUCCCUCGGCUCAACCAAGGAAGUGCAUCCGAAACUGCUGAGCUUGAGUACUUAAGAGGAUCGCGGAAUUCCAGGUGUAGCGGUGAAAUGCGUAGAUAUCUGGAGGAACACCGGUGGCGAAGGCGGCAUCCUGGACCAAUUCUGACACUGAGGAGCGAAAGCCAGGGGAGCAAACGGGG
rnacentral:rRNA from 1 species